rfam:Hordeum vulgare subsp. vulgare, WGS project CAJW01000000 data, contig: morex_contig_37510
UAAAUACUCGCUCCGUCCCAAAAUUAUUGUUUUAGAAUUGUCUAGAUAUAAAUGUAUCUAGUCACGUUUUAUUAUUUAGAUGCAUCAUUUUCUAGACAAAUCUAAGACAAGAAUUUUAAGACGGAGGGAGUACAAG